CGAAAAACCGGCGAAGAAGAGCGCCGGCAAGAACAAUCAGCUACGAAUCGCAACACGCCUUUUGGGUGUCGCCGAUUCCUUGCACCUCAAAAAAGUUCUGAGGAAAGGUAAAAAGUUGCAAAGGCAACUUGUGAUGUUGAGCGAUUCUAGGCAGGGUUACAUGAUCCGUCAAUGCUAUAGACGGCUGUUUCAAUUACUUACAGUUA
rnacentral:sRNA from 1 species